GUGCUCGCUUCGGCAGCACGUAUACUAAAAUUGGAACGAUACAGAGAAGAUUAGCAUGGCCCCUGUCAAAAAAAAAAAAAAAAAAAUUUGAAAGAUCAU
rnacentral:snRNA from 1 species